AGUUAUAUGCUUGUCUCAAAGAUUAAGCCAUGCAUGUCUAAGUACACACGAAUUAAAAGUGAAACCGCAAAAGGCUCAUUAUAUCAGUUAUGGUUCCUUAGAUCGUUAACAGUUACUUGGAUAACUGUGGUAAUUCUAGAGCUAAUACAUGCAAUAUAAACACGGACCUUUGGGACGUGUGCUUUUAUUAGGCUAAAACCAAGCGAUCGCAAGAUCGUUAUUAUGGUUGAACUCUAGAUAACUUGCAGAUCGUAUGGUCUCGUACCGACGACAGAUCUUUCAAAUGUCUGCCCUAUCAACUUUUGAUGGUAGUAUCUAGGACUACCAUGGUUGCAACGGGUAACGGGGAAUCAGGGUUCGAUUCCGGAGAGGGAGCCUGAGAAACGGCUACCACAUCUAAGGAAGGCAGCAGGCGCGUAAAUUACCCACUCCCAGCUCGGGGAGGUAGUGACGAAAAAUAACAAUACAGGACUCAUAUUAGAGGCCCUGUAAUUGGAAUGAGUACACUUUAAAUCCUUUAACAAGGACCUAUUGGAGGGCAAGUCUGGUGCCAGCAGCCGCGGUAACUCCAGCUCCAAUAGCGUAUAUUAAAGUUGUUGCGGUUAAAACGUUCGUAGUUGAACUUGUGCUUCAUACGGGUAGUACAACUAUAAUUGUAGUUUGUACUAUACCUUAUGUAUGUAAGCGUAUUACCGGUGGAGUUCUUAUAUGUAUUUAGAUACUUGUAUUUAGUGCAUAUUCCUCCUAUUUAAACCUGCUUCAGUGCUCUUCAUCGAGUGUUGUUGUGGGCCGGUACAAUUACUUUGAACAAAUUAGAGUGCUUAAAGCAGGCUCCAAAUGCCUGAAUAUUUUGUGCAUGGAAUAAUGAAAUAAGACCUCUGUUCUACUUUCAUUGGUUUUUAGAUCAAGAGG
rnacentral:rRNA from 1 species